rnacentral:rRNA from 1 species
UACGUAGGGCGCAAGCGUUAUCCGGAAUUACUGGGCGUAAAGCGUGCGCAGGCGGUUUUGUAAGUCUGUCGUGAAAUCCCCGGGCUCAACCUGGGAAUUGCGAUGGAGACUGCAAGGCUAGAAUCUGGCAGAGGGGGGUAGAAUUCCACGUGUGAGCAGUGAAAUGCGUAGAGAUGUGGAGGAACACCGAUGGCGAAGGCAGCCCCUGGGUCA